rnacentral:rRNA from 1 species
UCGAUGUAGUUUACUACAUGGCGGACGGGUGAGUAACGCGUGAGCAAUCUGCCCAUAUCUGGGGGAUAACAGUUGGAAACGACUGAUAAUACCGCAUAACAUGGUUUGAAGGCAUCUUCUUUCCAUCAAAGAUUUAUCGGAUAUGGAUGAGCUCGCGUCUGAUUAGCUUGUUGGUGAGGUAACGGCUCACCAAGGCGACGAUCAGUAGCCGACCUGAGAGGGUGAUCGGCCACAUUGGAACUGAGACACGGUCCAAACUCCUACGGGAGGCAGCAGUGGGGAAUAUUGGGCAAUGGAGGAAACUCUGACCCAGCAACGCCGCGUGAAUGAUGAAGGUCUUCGGAUUGUAAAGUUCUUUUCUAAGGGAAGAAGAAAGUGACGGUACCUUAGGAAUAAGCCUCGGCUAACUACGUGCCAGCAGCCGCGGUAAUACGUAGGAGGCAAGCGUUAUCCGGAAUGACUGGGCGUAAAGGGUGCGUAGGUGGUUUGACAAGUUGGUAGCGUAACUCCGAGGCUUAACCUCGGCACUACUACCAAAACUGUUGGACUCGAGUGCAGGAGGGGCAAAUGGAAUUCCUAGUGUAGCGGUGGAAUGCGUAGAUAUUAGGAGGAACACCAGUGGCGAAGGCGAUUUGCUGGACUGUAACUGACACUGAGGCACGAAAGCGUGGGGAGCAAACAGGAUUAGAUACCCUGGUAGUCCACGCUGUAAACGAUGAAUACUAGGUGUAGGGGGUAUCGAUUCCCUCUGUGCCGCCGCUAACGCAUUAAGUAUUCCGCCUGGGGACUACGGCCGCAUGGUUGAAACUCAAAGAAAUUGACGGGGACCCGCACAAGCAGCGGAGCAUGUGGUUUAAUUCGACGCAACGCGAAAAACCUUACCAGGC